rnacentral:rRNA from 1 species
UUUUGGGUUCAUUGAUAUGAAAACUCACAGUUAAGCGUGCUCAAGUGGGAGUAGUAUUAAGAUGGGUGACCUCAUGGGAAGUCUCCGUUGGGGCAACCA